AGAGUAUGAUCCUGGCUCAGAUUGAACGCUGGCGGCAGGCCUAACACAUGCAAGUCGAGCGGUAACAGGAGAAGCUUGCUUCUCGCUGACGAGCGGCGGACGGGUGAGUAAUGCGUAGGAAUCUACCCUUUUGUGGGGGAUAGCCCGGAGAAAUCCGGAUUAAUACCGCAUAAGCUCUUCGGAGGAAAGUGGGGGAUCUUCGGACCUCACGCUGAAGGAUGAGCCUACGUUGGAUUAGCUUGUUGGUGGGGUAAAGGCCUACCAAGGCGACGAUCCAUAGCUGGUCUGAGAGGAUGAUCAGCCACACCGGGACUGAGACACGGCCCGGACUCCUACGGGAGGCAGCAGUGGGGAAUAUUGGACAAUGGGCGCAAGCCUGAUCCAGCCAUGCCGCGUGUGUGAAGAAGGCUCUAGGGUUGUAAAGCACUUUAAGCAGGGAAGAAACGCUGUUGGUUAAUAACCAUCAGUACUGACGGUACCUGCAGAAUAAGCACCGGCUAACUCCGUGCCAGCAGCCGCGGUAAUACGGAGGGUGCAAGCGUUAAUCGGAUUUACUGGGCGUAAAGCGUGCGUAGGCGGCUACGUAAGUCAGUUGUGAAA
rnacentral:rRNA from 1 species